AUUGGAAACGCAUGCUUCAAGCUAAUUCAAGAAGCUGCCCAAAGACGUGGAAAAGAUGUCCACAUUGUAGACAUGUACGUUGUUCCAACAUGGAAGUCCAAAAUGGGGGAGCCAGAGGCCGCUCUUCUCCGUGACCUGUCAAAAGACAUAAUCAUCCCUGCCUGGAGCCAACAGCAAGGAAACGCCGA